rnacentral:misc_RNA from 1 species
GUCCAUGGUACAGCAUUUUCACUUAUUUGGAAAAAAAAUUGUUACUUCUGAUAAUGUGAAUAUACCUGUUUUCAUUUCUUUGUGAAAUGCAUAUAAAACAAGGACUAUCUUUCAUUCAAUUACCUUCAAUUGCACUCUACCAUUUCAUUCAGUAACCUUCGUUUAGAAAUUUACAUAAGCAAGUUUCUAUACUUUCUCCUUCGCCGUGCAAAUAAAAUGUGUUUUAAAACUGAUUUUUCAUGUGGUCAUGUGCUGUUAAAUCCGGGAUAUAUCACUUUUUUCAAUUAUUUUAUUUGCUUUUGAUUUAUGGUUA